UGGGGAAUAUUGGACAAUGGGCGCAAGCCUGAUCCAGCCAUGCCGCGUGAGUGAUGAAGGCCUUAGGGUUGUAAAGCUCUUUCGCCGGUGAAGAUAAUGACGGUAACCGGAGAAGAAGCCCCGGCUAACUUCGUGCCAGCAGCCGCGGUAAUACGAAGGGGGCUAGCGUUGCUCGGAAUCACUGGGCGUAAAGCGCACGUAGGCGGAUCGUUAAGUCAGGGGUGAAAUCCUGGAGCUCAACUCCAGAACUGCCCUUGAUACUGGCGAUCUCGAGUUCGAGAGAGGUUGGUGGAACUCCGAGUGUAGAGGUGAAAUUCGUAGAUAUUCGGAAGAACACCAGUGGCGAAGGCGGCCAAACUGGCUCGAUACUGACGCUGAGGUGCGAAAAGCGUGGGGAGCAAAACAGGAUUAGAUACCCUGGUAGUCCACGCCGUAAAACGAUGGAUGCUAGCCGUUGGGGGGUUUUACCUCUCAGUGACGCAGCU
rnacentral:rRNA from 1 species